rnacentral:lncRNA from 1 species
CUAGUGUUAUUUCCCCUAACCGAUCCCUCAAGGAUGAGUACAACUUGCCGGAAGGUGUAUUGACUUGCGGCAUCGUGCAAGGCAUGCCAAGGCCUCCACCUUUCAGCAGUUAAUUUAAAUAAGCUUAAAAAUCUGUAUCCAAUUAUGGUAUAUGGGGAGAGAGAGGGUGAGAAAAGCUGAGUUCUGUACAAUAUGUAAUGAAAUAAAAGCUUUUGGACCACUUUAUUGUUACUAAUUUUCGUGUGUUGCCCUCGAAUAUACACACAAUAUUUAAGUUAUUUUCAAUAUAAAAAAAACAGAUAUUUUCAAAAUUGUACAAUAUUUAAAGAUGAAUGAUUUAAACAUGGUUUAUACUACUAAUUAGUUUGAUAUGUUCAAAAUUGAUAUAAAUAAAUAAUUAAGUUAUAUUAACAAAGAAAUUUAAAAUAAAUAAUCUAUAUAUAUAUUUUUUGUUGAUAUACUUCUGCUUGGAACAUUGAUCUUCAUCAAUAUAAAUAAAUCAUUCUACUAUGGCGGUUCAACUUUUUGUUUAUUUUUAUUCAUUUAUUUUUGUAAAUUUCAAAAAAAAGUUAAGUCAUUGUGUACAAUUUAUACUUAAUUAAGUCCCUAUCAUUAAUUAAAAUAAUCAAUUAAGCCACGUAAAAUAAAUUGAUGGAGCAAUAGAUAGAGAUAGUAAUAGCUUCUAGAUUAAUCUAUUAUUUUUCCUAUAAAAAUAUUAAAAAAUUAAAAAAAUAUUAUCAAAAAUAUAAAUAUUAUUAAAUAUUAAAAAAAUAAAAUUGGUAUAAACUUAUAAAUUUUAAAAAAUUCUAAAAUUAAUAAAAAUAUAUUUAAAAUUUUAUAAAAAACAUUACAACUCUAUAAAAAUAAUAAAAAAUAUUAGAAGUAUUAAAUUUGAUAUAAAAUAAUAAUAACUUGAUUUGGGUUGGAUUAGUCAGUUGGACCGGUUAGACCAAAAUCGACAAGGAUAUCGAUCUAGAGAAAGCCAUUAGGCCAGUUGACAUUAGAACCGGAUGGUUGAACCGAUUCUUUAUCUUUUUAAUAUAUAUAUUUUAUUUCUUAAUGUUUUAUUUAAUUAAACUAGACGGAUCAGUGGAAGUGGUAAACCGAUGGCUUAAUUUAAAUUUUUUUGGAAAAGAUAUUAGAUUAAACUAUAAGCUACCACGUCUCAUCAUCUAAUUGGCCUACCAAUUUUUUUUAACAGUCAAUGUAAUCAAUUUCGAACAUCGUUAAAUAUUUUAAUUAAUGCCAAGAAUUUAAUUGGGUGCGAAUUUAAUAUAUGGAUAGACUUUUUGACAUAUAAACCUAUUAAAAAUAAGGUUAUUAUAUAUUAUCUCCCAAUAAUUACAUGGAAUAUUUGAAAUUCAAGCACUCCCUAGAUGACUUUGCUUGGAAACUAGCAUAAUUUAAGUUACUCUUCGCACGAAGAUGGACAAAUUGUGGAUGAUUAAGAAAUUGAAUAGUCUGCUAUGUUUGAAUAUGCUACUAUCUCGUUCUAAUAAUUGAAUUAUUUGAACAAAGUUGAGAAACAAGACCGGAACGUCAAGAAUCCAAGGACGAAUAAUGAAUUUGGUUUGUGAUCUCGUGUCAUAACUCAUUAAGUAGCUAAGUUUAAUGAAUUGAUAUUGAUGAAUGUUCUCAUAAAAGGCAUGUUAGCUUAAUUGACUUUGAUGGCAAUGGUUGUGAUGAUAUUCAUAUGUGUAUAUAUAUUUGUGAUGUGGAUUACGAUCAUGAAAAUAUUAUGAAAGGGAUUAAAGAUAUGUAAAUUUAUGUUUAAGGAUGUUAAGAAUGAGGACUAUUUUAGUAUUUUGGUGUAUUGAGCGUUAGGACAUAUCACUAACUUUAAUUCUUUGUUGGGUUAUUAAGUAAUUCAAUAUAUUAAUUUUUGCGUAUUCUCCAUUGAAUCUGAAAUCGAUUAAUAGGAACUAAAAUAUAAGUGUAUUAUGUGUCUAAGAUACAUAAGUGGUAUAUGAUUGAAAUCGAUUAAAAGGGACUAAAAUAUAAGUAUUAUGUGACUUAUGCUUAAGUUAUAAGAGACUCUGUAAGUCUUAGGAUGAUUUGAGAAAUAAGAUGACAUGUUUAAAUGGUAUCAAUUGUCUUUUUAUACCUUAAUGUCCGAUUUUCGUAUAUCUCAGAAUUUUCUCACUCGAAUCAAUUCGACUUUGUAACCAUACUCUAAGGCCUCAAACUAUCAAUAAAAUACCAUUUUUGUCCAAAGUUCUCAACAAUCUCAUUCAAGCUCUCAAGAACUCAUCAAUGGCUAUAUUAUCUAUGUCUAAUCAAGUCUUGUUUCUACACAUCCCACUUCAUUUCUAGCAUGUUUUCCACAAAGUUGAAGCUUAACACUAGAUAUUCAUGGAUUCAGGUUUUCAUUCUCUAAGUUCUCUAAUGCUUAGGCUAUGUUCAUCAAAGUAUCACAAACUAAGAUUUUAACAAAUUCAAGUGAAAAGUUCACCUUCCUUAGUAAUUUGAUGGACGAUAAUGGAAGAGUAACCUAAAGAAUUUCUUUCUUUCUUUUGCUUCUCUCACCAAUUGAACACACACACACACACAUAUAUAUAUACAUAAUUAAUCUAAUUACUCAUUAAUCUAAUGGCUGCAAUUGAGCUUAAAGAAUGGUCAAUAGAAAUGAAUGGCAAGGAUCAACGCAAGCCACUAACUAAGAAUAAAUCUUGGUUUAACAGUACUUAGGUUCUUGGCAUAAUUACCACUGACAAAUUUGUUUAAUUCUUAAAUCAAUUCUCUUUAUUUUAUUCACCUCACAAUUAGUCUUUGAUCAAUAAUUACUAUUCUUUCAAUCUAGUCCUUGUACUUAAUAAUUUAUCUAAUUUAAUCCCUUAAUAAUUCUAAUUUCUAAUUUCAUGUUCAUCUUGUAAAUGUCUUGAUUUAAGAUUUUUGGACUAGUUCGGCUUCGAGAAUUCAGCCCUGAAAUUGAAAUUUUUGACCCCAGUGAAAAUCAGAAUGUUAUAUGCAAACUGCUCAACAUCCUGCAAGGUCUCCAUAAUGGAUUUCUUCAUAUUUGUGUCAUUGUUGCUCAUGUCUGAUCCACCCCUGGUAUUCACUUCAACUGUAACAAUGGUCAUAUUCGUUGCCAUGAGUGAUGUGGAAAAAUUUGUUAAUAUUUCGUUAAGUAAUUUGAAAUGGAUCAUGAGUAAUUUGGUGGAAAGAGUUAAUAAAAUAAUUUCUCCACAUUUUGGGUGUUCAAAAUUUAAUUUAUUAUAAAAUCUCUUGUAGAUGAUGUCACAAAUGAAUUUGUCAUGUAUGCCUAAACUCUUGCAAAAAAAAAAAGAACUAAUUAUUUUUUUUUUCAAAUUAUUUUUUUGUGUCAUAAUUUAAGUUUUCAUAUAAGAAGGUUGGUUUCACUUUAAUACAAUUUCUAUUUUUAAAAAUUACAAUAGUUUAUCUAUAUUUAUAAUAAAAGAAUAACUAAAAAGGUAAAAGAAAAAAACUAGAGUAUUUUUCAUAGAAGCAACUACUUUCCUAAAGAAAAGGUUAGCCAUCCAUAGAGUGAAUAUUCAAAUCCUUGUGAUAACAGAGAACAAUGAUUCAAAAUUGUAAAACCAAAAAUGGAUUAGUGCUAAAAGCAAGGAAAUAAAUGAAUGGAUGAGCUUCUUCUAAGGGAUUAAGAUGGAAGAAUGGAAGAGGGGAUUGUGUGGUAUAAAAGGAGAGGUAUGCAUGCAAUUCAAAAUCAACUCAAGCAAACCAUCUUCCUCUUCCUCUAGAAGGGGAUAAUUAAUAAAUUACUGUCGGGCGAAAAAAAAGGGUAAGAGAUGGCUCGAUUAAUGUUAAUAUCGAUGCUAUUUCUCUUGGCAGGAUCAAUGCUUAUGGUCCAGGGCGGAGAUCCCACCCUUUUUUUCGAAUGGAACGUCACCUAUGGCACCAUUGCUCCCUUGGGAGUGCCAGUAAAGGGUAUUCUUAUUAACGGGCAAUUCCCGGGACCAAAUCUUAACUCUACCACCAACAACAAUAUCGUGGUCAAUGUGUUCAAUAACCUUGAUGAGCCAUUCCUUGUAACAUGGUAAGCGACUACCAAGAGUAGUUUCUUUUUUACAUUAAUAUGAUUAUGCUAGUGAAGAGUCGAGCUAAUUAUCUGUGGAAAUGGGAUUUGUUGCAGGGACGGCGUGCAGCAUAGGAAGAACUCUUGGCAAGAUGGUGUUCUGGGAACCAACUGUCCUAUCCCCCCUGGGAAGAAUUACACCUAUAAAUUCCAGGUGAAGGAUCAGAUUGGCAGCUACAUGUACUAUCCGGUGACGGCUAUGCACAAGGCGGUUGGUGGUUUCGGUGGCCUCCGUGUUAACAGCCGUCUACUCAUCCCUGUUCCCUACGCUGAUCCGGCUGAUGACUAUACUCUCUUAGUGGGAGACUUUUUCAACAAGGGACACACCAGCCUCAAGAAGAUUCUUGAUAGCGGUCGCAACCUUGGGAGAUGUGACGGUGUCCACCUUAAUGGGAAAGUUGCGAAAGGUGAUGGGAAGGAUGAACCUCUGUUUACGAUGGAGGCAGGCAAAACGUACAAGUACAGGAUUUGCAAUACGGGUAUCAAGACAUCUCUGAACGUCAGGUUCCAGGGCCACACCAUGAAAUUGGUUGAGAUGGAGGGUUCCCACACAAUGCAGAAUGACUAUGACUCCCUUGAUGUGCAUGUUGGACAGUGCUUCAGUGUGCUUGUUACUGCCAACCAGGAACCAAGGGAUUACUAUGUGGUGGCCUCUACCCGUUUUACCAGACGUGAGGUUACAGCAACCGGCAUCAUCCGUUACAAGAAUGGCAAGGGAGCUGCCUCAUCCGAGUUGCCACCACCACCUGUUGGUUGGGCUUGGUCACUCAAUCAAUUCCGUACCUUCCGUUGGAACUUGACUUCUAACGCUGCUAGGCCUAACCCUCAGGGCUCCUACAAAUAUGGUUCCAUUAACAUUACCCGCACCAUCAAGCUUGCCAACACUGCACAAAGAGUAGAUGGCAAGCUCCGAUAUGCUCUUAAUGGAGCCUCCUAUGUCGAACCAACCACUCCACUAAAACUUGCAGAAUACUACGGCGUAGCCGACAAGGUUUUCAAGUAUGAUACCAUUCCCGAUGAGCCACCAAGUGACAACACUAAGGUAACUUUGGCACCUAUUGUCCUCAACAUGACACACAGAAACUUUGUGGAAAUCAUCUUCGAGAAUCCCGAGACCGCCAUUCAGUCUUACCACUUGUCUGGCUACUCAUUCUUUGCCGUGGGGUAAGUAUAGCUUCUAACGUAACAAAUACAUGUGGUGAUUUUAUUGCCUGAGUUGAAGUAAUAAGUUGUAUAAUGAUUUGUUGCAGCAUGGACAUUGGGAAAUGGAGCCCUGAGAAGAGGAUGAACUACAAUCUUCUCGACGCCGUGAGCAGACACACCAUACAGGUAUUCCCCAACUCCUGGUCAGCAAUCCUAUUGACAUUCGACAACUGCGGGAUGUGGAACCUGAGGUCGGAGAUAUGGGACAGGCAUUACCUUGGGCAACAGCUUUAUGCUAGUGUUAUUUCCCCUAACCGAUCCCUCAAGGAUGAGUACAACUUGCCGGAAGGUGUAUUGACUUGCGGCAUCGUGCAAGGCAUGCCAAGGCCUCCACCUUUCAGCAGUUAAUUUAAAUAAGCUUAUAAAUCUGUAUCCAAUUCUGGUGUAUGGGGAGAGAGAGGGUGAGAAAAGCUUGAGUUCCAAAUGUAUUUAAUGAAAUAAAAUAUUUUGGACCAUUUGUUUGUAUUCAAGUCAUCCGCAAGCUUUCAACAAUUUCAUUGCUGCCAUGUUUUAAUUCUAAUUACUGUGUUGAUUAUUAAAAUCAUAUAAUGCAUUAAUAAGAAAAACCAUCACAAAAUAGUGUGCAUCACUAAAACAAUUAAUGAAUAGACCAACUUUCUGUUUUCUUCUUCCCUUUUCUAUUUUCUGCUUUCUGUUUCGGUUCAUAACAGAACCAGGAGACAAAACAUCCCUCAGUCCACUCCUGCAAGGUAAGAUUCUCCCAAGAAAUUUACUACUGUUCCCUCUUCCAAAGAAGAAGAUACUCUACUGCAAAAGAAAGAGCAAACAAUUUUGUCAACCGUCUGCACCAACAGAUAUUUGCUGUGUACAAAGAAGCACUUCAUUGAGUAGAAUGACUUGCUACAAUUUGUUGCUUUUGUAAAACCAUAUGCCGAGGAGGGGGUUUAUGGGUUUUAUGUCAAUCUUCUCAAGUCUGUCAAUAAGUCUUCGAGCAAACUCUUCCACAAAGCUUAUAUUCGAGGAAGAUGGUAUAAUUUUGGCCCUACACAAAUUUGGGAGCUAUUGCUUCACUCAUGCUUGAUAGAUGUCAAGCUAGAUGAAUUUUAUGGUAUAAUGGUCAAAACCAUCACCAAUGGAGUUCACCUUACCUUGCCCACAAGCUUCUACUCUAGAGCCCACUUAUGCUGGCCUGUUUGCUAUUGCAACCAGAAACUGGAUUCCUAAUAGCCAAAGGAAUACAGUUACAAAGAAGAUUGUUACUCUGCUUAGGAAGAUUUGUGAUGUGAUUCAAUUUGACUUGGGAGAGCUUAUUUUUCAGGAAAUCAUCAAACAUACUAAUUUUGUUUACCCCAUGUUAUGUCUUUCUUUCCAUUCACUUAAUUUUUCAGAUUCUUUAUAAUCAAAAUCAUGAAAUUGUAUUGGCUACUGAAAAAUAUGAAAGGAAGCCUAUAGAGUUGAAGUAUUCAUACAAGUGGCUUGAAGGGAAACACCAGGUUGCACUCCCUGAAGCAGUUCCUGAUGUUGUGGCCCAGCCUGUUGGAGUUGGCACAAAGGAAGACAUUUCAUCUCCAACAUCUUGAUGCUGAGAUUGCCUCCCAAGAAAAAGGUCAUUCAACAACUUCAAGCCAAUGUUCGACGAGUCAAAGCAUUGUGGAAUGAUCUCCUGGCCAAGCUGCUUCAGUUGGGGUUUGGAAAAUCUCUUGAACUAAAAGGGGGAGUGGUAUAAAGGACUUGGCACUACAGGUGACACUACUGCAAUUAGUAUCAUGUUUUUUCUUUUCUUAGUAUGAUGAUUUUUCUGUGCCAGAAUCACCAUAAACUUAGGGUUUCAGUUGUCAUGUGGGGAUGAAAUAAUUUACCACCCCAAUAUUGGGAUUCCAAUUCUCAUCAAAGAAUUUGCAACCCUCAGUUUCAGAAGCUAUCUGCUAAGUGAAAUUUGUUUUAUUUUAAUGUUUUUGGGUUGUAAUUUUGAAGACUCUAACUUGAAUUAUGUUUAUUUUAAUUGAUAUUUUAUAAAGGCUAUUCUCACUACCUAUGCAUUAAUGAUUAUUUUGCUUGAUUAUGUUUGUAUUUGAAGUAGGAUGGAUUAAGGGUGAGCUAAAAUUGAAAUUUUUUUAUUUAGGUAUUUUAAGAUUUUAAAUUAAUAAAAAUAGAAUUGUACGUUGGCUCCUUUAAAAUGAUAAAAAUUUGAUUUAACCUUAUAAAAAUUAUAAAGACAUAGGCUAUUAAAAUUGUGAAAUUGCACUUUUGCUAUCGUAAAAAAUUACAAUUUAAUUUCGGUCCCCUAAACAAAUUUUCUGGCUUUGCCUUUGAUUUCUUGGAGAGAGCAUUUGUUAUCGUGAACUUACCAAUACUAUGCAAAUUUUCUAUUUAAUAUUUAUUUUUGUAUGAUUAAUAUUUAACUAUCAUAAUUUCAAUUCUGAUUAAAUUUUAAAUAUUUAACUAUAUUUUUUUAAUGUAAAAACUUUGAACCAUUAAAUAUAUAUAUUAAUAAAGAUGGUAUUUAGAUUAAUACGAAAUUUUACUUGCAUGAUAAAUAAAAUAAUAAAUUCAACAGUUAAAAACAUUAGUUAACUUUUAUUUGUUAAUAAUUCGUUAAUUUAUGUAAGUUUUUACAUAUUUAUCUAUUUGGAUUGUGAUUGUAUUAUUUUUUCAUUAUAUCCUAUUUUAAUAUUUUUUAUAUUAUUUACGAAAAUAACUACAUUUAAAAAAAUAAAAUAAAUUUCACACACACUGUAAAUAGAAAAAAUGAAAGAAUUUAUUAUUGAAUGACAUAUAGUAGCUGAAUGAUGAUUACAUCAAGAAAAUUAAUUUAUUGGAAAAGUCAGCAUUAGUCACUACAAAGGUCGUUUUAUGUGCAUUUGAAGCAGAACUGGUUCCAGGUUUAUAUAAGCUUUAAAUUAGGUGUAAGCUGGUGGUGGCCUUGGCAUGCUUUCCACAACACCGCAAACUAGUGCACUCUCAGGCAUGUUGUAUUCGUCCCUGAGUGAUUUGUUAGGGGAAACAACACUAACAUAAAGCUGUUGCCCAAGGUAAUGCCUGUCCCAUACCUCUGACCUGAUGUUCCACAUUCCACAGUUGUCGAAUGACAAUAGGAUAGCUGCCCAGGACUUGGGGAAAACCUGUAUGGUGUGUCUGCUCACGGCAUCAAGAAGAUUGUAGUUCUUCCUCUUCUCAGGGCUCCAUUGCCCAGUCUCGACACUGCAACAAAUGAUUAUAGAAUUUAGUUAAACGGAAAGUAAUGACUAUAUACUAGAAGAAUUUGAAGACCAAAUACUUACGCCACAGCAAAGAAGGCAUAGCCACACAAGUGAUAAGACUGGAUGGCUGUUUCGCGAUUCUCGAAGAUGAUUUCCAUAAAGUUUCUGUGUGUCAAAUUGAGGACAACAGGUUCCAUGGUUACUUUAGUGAUCUCAGCUGGUGGGUCAUCAGGAAUGGUAUCAUACUUGAAAACCUUGUCAGCUACGCCGUAGUAUUCUGCAAGUUUUAGUGGAGUGGUUGGUUCGACAUAGGAGGCUCCAUUAAUAGCAUAUCGAAGCUUGCCAUCUACUUUUUGAGCAGUGUUGGCCAGCUUGAUGGUACGGGUAAUGUUAACGGAACCAUAUUUGUAGGAGCCCUGAGGGUUAGGCCUAGCAGCGCUGGCAGUCAAGUUCCAACGGAAGGUACGGAAUUGAUUGAGUGACCAAGCCCAACCAACUGGUGGUGGUGGCAACUUAGGUGAGGGUGCGCCCUUGCCAUUGGUGUAACGGAUGACACCAGUUGCUGUAACCUCGCGUUUGGUAAAACGGGUAGAGGCCACAACAAAGUAAUCCUUUGGUUCUUGGUCGGCUGUAACAAGCACAGCGAAGCACUGUCCAACAUGAACAUCAAGGGAUUCAUAGUCAUUUUGCACUGUGUGGGAACCUUCCAUCUCAACCAAUUUCAUGGUGUGGCCUUGGAACCUGACGUUCAGAGAUGUCUUGAUACCCGCAUUGCAAAUCCUAUACUUGUAGGUUUUGCCUGCUUCCAUGGUGAAGAGAGGUUCAUCGCUACCAUCACCUUUAGCAACUUUUCCAUUAAUGUGGACACCAUCACAUCUACCAAGGUUGCGACCGCUCUCAAGAAUUUUCUUGAGGGUGGUGUGUCCCUUGUUGAAAAAAUCUCCUGCUAUGAUAGUAUAGUCAUCAGCUGGAUCAGCAUAGGGGACAGGAAUGAGUAAACGACUGUUAAUACGAAGGCCACCGAAACCACCAACCGCCUUAUGCAUAGCCGUCACUGGAUAAUAGAUGAAGCUGCCAAUUUGGUCCUUCACCUGGAAUUUAUAGGUGUAAUUCGUCCCGGGGGGGAUAGGACAGUUGGUUCCAAGCACACCAUCUUGCCAAGGAUUCUUCCUAUGCUGCACGCCACUCCUGCAACAAAAUUCAUUUCCAUAUAUAUAUAUAUAUAUAAUUAAGCUCAACUCUUUACUAAUAUAAUCAAGGGAAAAAAAAGUACUCUUGUUUACCAUGUCAAAAGGAAUGGCUCAUCAAGGUUGUUAAACACAUUGACUAUAACAUUGUUGUUGGUGGUAGAGUUCAUAUUUGGCCCAGGGAAUUGCCCGUUAAUGAGAAUACCUUUUACGGGAACACCCAAAGGAGAUAUGGUGCCAUAAGUGACCUUCCACUCGAAACUAAUGGUGGGAUCUCCACCUUGAACCAUAAGCAGUGAUCCUACCCAGAGAAAAAACACCACUAUUAUCGUCAAUGGAGCCAUUUUGUUGGCUUUAAAGUCUCUUAUGUAAUUUUAUGAAAUUUUAUGAAUUAAGGCUGUUUAUCCCCUCUUAGAGGAAGAAGAUUUGUUUGAGAUGAUUUGAGUUGCAUGUUGGCUUACCCUUUUAUACAACACAACUCCUUCUAAUACAAUCAUUCUUCACCAUUCAAUUUUUCUCUUGAAAUCCUUAAAUUGCGCACAUCCAUUUGUUUAUUUUCUUUUAGUAUAUACUAUUUUUAACAUUAACCAAUUUGAUUUUACUGUGAUUCUCUUUUGUUCUAAUAUAAUAUUUGCACAUUAAUUCAUUGUGUGGACGGCUAAUAUUUUAUGACUAAUGCAUCUUCAUCAAAAUAUUUAAUCCUUACCAUAAUUAUUUUUUAAUUAUAUGGACGAUAUAAACGUGAAGAAAACACAAAUAAGAAUUUAACAUGAAACCAAAUCGACAUUAGAGAAAAAAAACAUAUAUAAGAAAUAUUCUAAAUUUAUAAAUAUAUAUAUGAUGCUCAAUUUUUUUCCUAUAUUUUUAAAAUUAAAAUUCUAGUUUUAUAUGGAUUUUGAUAUACAUUAAUUUAUAAAUGUACAUAUUACUAUUAUUUUUAUAUUCACAUCAUGCUCAAAUUCUCUUUCCUAUAUUUUUAUUUGUGAAAUUUUGGUUUUCUAUUCUUUUAUAUGUUGGCACUGUUGGAGCUAAGUGCAACAAAUAGCAAGGUUCAACAAAAAGCUUGCCGAGCAAGAAUCGAGACUUGCGGCAGAAACAAAGAAGAAAAAUGAAAUAAAUUUUAAGCAAAGUUAAAAUAGAGAGUAUAUGGAUGAAAUCUUGAUUGAAUUCAUUCAUUUUUUUAAAAUGGCAUAAAGCCUAUUUAUACAAGCUUACAACUUGACAACUUAGUUGGAAUACAACUAAGUUUCAUCAUUACAUCCACUUAAAAUAAAUCACCACCUACUACCACUAACAAACUUAGUUGGAAUACAACUAAGUUUCAUCAUUACAUCCACUUAAAAUAAAUCACCAGCUACUACCACUAACAAACUUAGUUGGAAUACAACUAAGUUACAUCAUUACAUCCAAAUAAUAAUAAUAAUAAUAAUAAUAAUAAUAAUAAUAAUAAUAAUAAAACAUGUGAUUGCUACAUGCUAACCAUUGCUUCAAUACUCCUCCUUGGUUUGCAUGGAGCAAACACCUAGCUUCCUUCUUAGACAUUCGAACCUUGUGACAUUAAGGGCUUUAGUCAAAAUGUCUACAAGUUUAUCCUCAGAAUUACAAUGGAUCAGCUUCACUUCCUGAGCUUGCUCCAUUUCUCGAACAACAUGCAACUUGAUGCUGAAAUGCUUUGUUCUUCCAUGGAACACUGGAUUUUUAGCAAUUGCAACUGAAGAUUGGUUGUCACAGAAGAUCUCAGUAGCUUCCUUUUGAUGCACUUUCAAAUCAGCUAAGAUUUUUCUUAGCCAAAUGGCUUGGUUGACAGCACUUGCAGCUGCCACAUAUUCUGCUUCAGCAGUAGAUUGAGCCACCAGACUUUGCUUCUUCGAGCUCCAGCAAAACAUGGCUGAACCAAGGUUGAAAGCAUACCCUGAGGUGCUUUUCAUGUCAUCUAUCGAGCCAGCCCAGUCACUAUCAGUGUAGCCAACCAGCUUCAGAUUUCCUUCCUUGCUGUACCUUAAACCAUAGCUCAAAGUGCCUUUGACAUAUCUAAGCACUCUCUUAGCAGCUUGUAAAUGCUUUUUAUUGCAACAAUGCAAGAACCUUGAGAGCAAUCCUACAGCAUACAUUAUGUCUGGUCUAGUGGCAGUUAAAUAUAACAGACAACCAACUAGACUUCUGUAGGUUGUUUCACAAACCUUCUCAAAAUCACCUUGGCUCGAUAGUUUUUCUCCAACAGCAACAGGUGUUUUAGUUGCUUUACUGUUUUGCAUGGAGAACUUGGUCAGAAUCUUUGUGGCAAAGUUUCUCUGACUUAGAAAUAUCCCAUUUUGUGCUUGAGUCACCUCCAUUCCAAGGAAAUAAGACAUUUCCCCUAGAUCAGACAUUUCAAAUACUUCUUGCAUCUUGGUCUUGAAAUCGACCAGCACUGCUCGAUCUCCUCCUGUCACCAGCAGGUCAUCAACAUAUAGGGAUACAAUGAGCUGUGUUUGUGUCCCUUGCUUCUUAACAUACAGUGUUGGCUCACUCUUGCUUCGAUCGAAUCCCAAAUUAGUCAAGUAGCCAUCGAUUCUGCUGUACCAGGCCCUUGGAGCCUGUUUUAAGCCAUAUAGGGCCUUCUUCAGUUUGUAGACCAUAUGCUCUCUGCCAGCUAUCUCAAACCCUUGUGGUUGUUCAACAUAGAUCUCUUCAUCUAAGAAACCAUUCAGAAAAGGCUGAUUUCACAUCGAGUUGAUGGAUCUUCCACUCGAGCUAUGCUGCUAAGGCAAUCAGUAAUCUGAUGGUGUCUAGCUUGGCCACUGGUGCAAAGGUCUCCAGGUAGUCCAGGCCAUACCUCUGACUGAACCCCUUGACAACUAGCCUUGCUUUCAGUUUGUUCAAGGUACCAUCAGCAUUUUGCUUGGCUUUGUACACCCAUUUCACCCCAAUUAUCUUCCUUUUGACUGGCCUUUCAACUAAUUCCCAGGUCUGGUUCUUCUCAAUCAUGCUAAUCUCCUCAGCCAUUGCCUGCUUCCACUCUUGCUGAGCUUCAGCCUCUUCAAAAUUUCUUGGUUCAGCUAUGGCUACAUGAGCUCUUUCAUAAAUCUCAGUCAAUGGUCUUGUUCCUCUAACUGGUUCAUCAUCAAUGUCCAUUUCAGGAACAUUUUGAUCUGGCUCAGCUUGAUCUGCUGCAAGUCCUUCUGAAACUUCCUCAGGAUCAUGUUUUUCCCAGUUCCAACAUGACUUUUCAUCAAAUACCACAUCCCUACUGACUGACACUUUCUUUGUUGAAGGAUCCAAGAUCCUAUAGCCCUUCUUAACAGUGCUGUAGCCCACCAAAAUACCAGGUCGAGCCCUUUCAGAUAAUUUGUCCCUUUUGACAGCAGGUACAUGAGCAUAACAGAUGCAUCCAAAGACCUUCAGAUGAGCCAGUGAUGGCUUGAAUCCAAACCAGGCUUCGAAUGGAGUCUUCUGAUCCAAGGCCUUGGUUGGAAGCCUAUUUUGAAUGUAGUUUGCAGUGUUAACUGCCUCUGCCCAUAGUGCUUUAGGCAGAUUCUUCUGAAUCAUCAAGCACCUGGCCAUAUCCAUCAAACUCUUAUUCUUUCUUUCGCUUACACCAUUUUGCUGAGGUGUAUAUGUGUUGGUAAGUUGAUGUUUGAUGCCUGCCUUAUCACAGAAGGCUUGGAACUGAGCUGAGGUGUACUCAGUCCCAUUAUCAGACCUUAUGGACUUCAGCUUGCAACCUGUUUCAGUCUCAGCAGCAGUCUUGAACUUCCAAAACACUGAGGCCGCCUCUGAUUUCUGUUUUAGGAAGUAAAGCCAGCAAUAUCUUGAAAAAUCAUCAAUGAACAGUAUGAAGUACCUGUUUCCACUUAAUGACUCAGUCCUCAUAGGGCCACACACAUCAGUGUGCACCAGUUGGAGUUUUUCAGAGGCUCUCCAGGCUUGAUUCGAGGGAAAUGGGAGUCUGGCCUGCUUUCCUAGCUGACACACUUCACACACAUCAUCAUGAUCCACUGAGUUGAUGAAGUUUUCAGCCAAGUCCUCUCUGACCAUUCGAGCCAUCGAUCUGAAGUUGGCAUGUCCCAGUCUUUGAUGCCAAAGCUUGGAUUCAUCUGAUGUGACUGUGUAGGCAAUGUCUGACUCCCUGGUCCAGUCAACUACAAAGCUCUUAUUAGCCAUAGGAACUGCCAUCAGCUUGGAUCCACUUGGAUCAUUGAUUUGGCAUUGGUUGUCUUUGAACACAACAGAAUAACCUUUCUCCAGCAACUGAGCUAUGCUGAGCAGGUUUCUGUCAAUUUCAGGCACCAAAAGCACAUUUGAAAUCACUUUGGCACCUGUGGGGGUGCAUAUCAGCACAUCACCCUUGCCUUCAGCUUGAAUAAAAUGUCCAUUUCCUAUCUUGACUUUAGUUCUGCAGCUUCUGUCUAAAGACUUGAAGAUUACAGCAUCAGGUGUCAUGUGGUUGGUGCAUCCACUGUCUAGAAGCCAACCAGAUGAGAACCUUUCUUGAGCAGCUGAGCAUAACACAGCAAAGACUUGCUCCUCUUGGUCACUGUCCUCCUUAGCUACUCGAGCCUCAGCUUUCUUCUGUUGAAACUGACUCUGCCUUGAUUUGGCCUUGCUCUUGCAGACUCUCUCAACAUGACCCUUCUUUUUACAAUGCUGACAUACAACAUCUGGAUUGAACCAGCAUUUUUCUUUUGGAUGACCAGCCCUUCUACAGUGCUUGCAAGUCUGACCCUCUUUUCUUGCAACAUCAGUCCUUGGCUUGUCUCUCCAGGCCUUCUUGCCUUUGUAGGCAGUGUUUGUUCUUGCCUGAAAGGCACCUUCUUGAUGCUCCUCCAGUCUGCUUGCUCUUCUUUGCUCUUGAGCAUAUAAAGCAUUGAUCAACUCUGUCAGGAAGAUGGUGUACAGGUCCCUUGAGUCCUCGAGAGAUGAGAUUUUUGCCUCAUACCUCUCGGGCAGAGUUGCAAUAACCUUCUCCACUAUCCUAGCUUCCUUGAGCUGCUCUCCAAGGAGCCUUAUGCUGUUAACCACAGCCAUAAUCCUGUUAGAGUACUGCUUGAUAGUUUCUUCUUCCUUCAUCUUCAAAUUCUCGAAAUCUCUCCUUAAGUUCAGCAACUGUUGCUGCCUUGUCCUCUCUGUCCCUUGAAACUCCUCUUGCAACUUGUCCCAGGCUUGUUUUGGUGAUUCACAGGCCAUAAUCCUUGUGAAAAUCACAUCUGACACUGAGUUCUGGAUGCAAGACAUGGCUUUAUGCCUCUUGGUCCUCUCAUCAGCAUGCUGCCUGAUUUGAGCCACUGUUGGAUUGCCUCUAAGUGGCUCUGGUUCAACAUCUGAGUUGACUACCUCCCACAGAUCGAAAGCUUGUAGGUAGGUCUUCAUUUUAACCACCCAUAUGUGGUAGCCUUCUCCAUUGAAGACUUGAGGUGCAGCUGGUGAAAAGCUUGAUGAAGCCAUGAAUUUGUAUAACAGAUCCCUUAAGAAAUAGGCUCUUGAUACCAAUUGUUGGAGCUAAGUGCAACAAAUAGCAAGGUUCAACAAAAAUCUUGCCGAGCAAGAAUCGAGACUUGCGGCAGAAAAAAGGAAGAAAAAUGAAAUAAAUUUUAAGCAAAGCUAAAAUAGAUAGUAUAUGGAUGAAAUCUUGAUUGAAUUCAUUCAUUUUUUUAAAAUGGCAUAAAGCCUAUUUAUACAAGCUUACAACUUGACAACUUAGUUGGAAUACAACUAAGUUUCAUCAUUACAUCCACUUAAAAUAAAUCACCACCUACUACCACUAACAAACUUAGUUGGAAUACAACUAAGUUUCAUCAUUACAUCCACUUAAAAUAAAUCACCACCUACUACCACUAACAAACUUAGUUGGAAUACAACUAAGUUACAUCAUUACAUCCAAAUAAUAAUAAUAAUAAUAAUAAUAAUAAAACAUGUGAUUGCUACAUGCUUGGGUUUGUGCUCAGUGUUUUGGGUUGAAGCUUGGAUAAAAGGGCUUAAAUAUUGCAUAGAACAAGGGGUUUCACAGAGUGGGAGUUGAAAACAACAAUGCUGAGCUUCUUUCUUUACUUGAUGACCAAAAUGGAGAGUCAAGUUCUUGUAAGACACAUCCAAAUUCUUUUCAAUCACAAAUUGAAACUUACAUAAAUAUAGAGGCAGAUUGUUUGGGAAAAAUGAGCCAAAGUAGAUUUUAUUUCAUAUAAAUACCAAUGAUCAGGCCUUUCAGAGGCACACUGGUUGAGUUGAGAUAUCCUUUUAUAUGCUAUAAGCCUCGAUUGCUCGUUUUCCUUUUCUGUCUCGUACCUCCUCUCUUUAUCGUUGUGCCCAUGAACACUCUUUGUUUCCCUACUACGAUUGCACAGCUCAUUACUACCUUCUGAACGUUCCACAACCAUAUUUUACACAGUUACCCCCAUUUUCAUUUUCUUGGACUAAUGAGCAAAAUCUAACACCCUUUAUGUUACUUGAAAUUUCAUCGUCACUUUUAUCCAAAUGCCUACUAGCCCUCCUGCACCGAUGAUCAUCACAACCUGACAAAGGUCAAACCUCACUAGAGGUAAAGCCACCAUCACAGCCAAGGACAUUGGACUCACAUUAUCUAGAUUUGCAAUUAAUUCGUUGACGUCCUCUUCACUUGAUGAACGAAUCACUUCAACUUCUAACACUUUCAGAUCAAUAUUUUCUGGCCAACCGCUUUUAUUUGGAUUUGCAGAACAACACUUACCUUACUCUGUAGUCUCUGAUCCAUGUAUUUAACUUAGCUCUUUUUGCUGGUUUCUAUUCUAAGAGUAAUUGACGUGCUAAGUGAAGAUAGUAGGAACUUUUAGCUCCUACGCUCUAAUGUUUUUUUUUUUUUUUUGCAUUAUGGCUAGUUGAGCCUUCCUUUGUACAAAAAGAACUAGUUUAAUCUAAUAGUUGAAUCUCAAAUUUAAAUAGUUGUUAUUCACUUUUCAAGCCACCACGAACAUAUUAUGGAAAUUAGAGGGACAGAAACAAGGUAGCUGAUUCAUUGUCCAAACUACAAGUUUCAGAAGAUUUUGGAAUAAAGUGCUCACUCGACCCCUCAGAGAAAUCGAUACAUUAUUGUUAUUAGACAAAUUGGGGUCAUGCCAUCCCAAUGGUAUUUUGAUGUAGAACAGUAAUGCCUAUUUGAAUUUCCCUUGUCUUUGAACUCUAGAAUUUUCUUGUAUUUAAUUUAGUCAUUGAUUUAUUUGGAUAGGUAUUAAAAGUAAAUUUUGAUGAUUGGCAUUCUAAUUAGUCAAAAUUCUCUUUGGGAUCGAUAUUUUAUACCACUUGUAACGAUACAUAUACUUGCGUGUGAUAUUCGAUUAAGUUCAGAGCACCUUUUGUUCAAAAUAAUGGUGUUUUACGAAUAACUAUGCUUAGAACAAUUUCUAUUUAGUAGAAUUGUAUUUUUUCGAAAGAGUCAUUAUUCAGAAUAAGUUCUACCAAACGGAGCAUUACCAUAGAACAACUUUUGUUUGAAACAAGUAAGAAUAACCCUUUUCCAUGAACAACUCUCGUUCAAGAACAUCCAUUGUCUUGCAUUCUAAGAGAUGUUCUGCGGUAAAGGUUUCACAAGAUACCGCUUCACCAAAGUAGAAGAAGUGAAAAUAACCUACGACAGAGUUCUCGGGUUGUCUUCACUCUUGAGAUUUUCCGGAGAACUUGGCUUGGUAGAUUAAAUAUGGAGAUAAUUAAAUAGUUUCCUCUUAACAUUUUCCUCUAACAUUGAGUGUUUUUCCUUUAUUUCAAAAAUAUGGUGAACAUUUCUUCAAUAUUCAUCAUUAUCAUCACCAAAAAGGCCAUUCACCAUCCCGUCUUAACCAUAUAUUGCCAUUGCAAUUGAAACCUAAUUUCAUUACUCAUAUUAAAUACCUAGUAUAAAUAGGAGCCCAUCACAACUAGUUGAGUGACUUUUUGGCACUUUGAUACUCUAAUUCUCAAAGCUCUCUAAAAUUCUUUCAACUUUUGUUGUUGUUGUUGUUUAGCCUUAUCAUCAACUACAAUUCCCUUUCUCUUGCUUAUCAAACAUCACUUGUUGCUGUGAUCAAUGUUAUAGGAUCAGCUCUAGUAUUCUUCUCUGCCUUCUUUCGAUAUAUCAUGUUCACUUAUUUAUAAAGCUCCCUCUGAACCCUCUACAAUGUUUUAAUUUUAUCUAUAUUACUCUCAUAGAAUACCACAAAUGGAUAUAUGAUGUUAUUAGUAUGUUAUAAUCUCUAAAAAAAUGAAAUUAGUUAUAAAUUUCUUUUCAUAUUAUUUAUUCAAUUUGAACUUUUAUGGUGGGUCAUAAUUUAAUUAUAUAUGAAGUUUCACUUAAUAUCAACUGUCUAUAAUGAUUAUAUAAUAAUGGAGGUUAAUGUUACUUUAAUACAUUUCAUAUUUAUAUAUUUAAAUUAAGAAAAUAACUAAAAGAACUCUCAUCAGAGUAACCAUCGUCCUAAAAAAAAGGUUAGCCAUCAGCACAGUGGAUGUGCAAAUCCUUGAUGGAAAAGAAGAGAAUGAUAAACUCAAAAUGAUUAGUGUUAAAAACAGUAUUUGCUAAAAGCAAGGAAAUAAAUGAAUGGAUGAGCGUAUUCUAAGGGAUUAAGAUGGAAGAAUUGAAGAGGUUGUGUGGUAUAAAAGGAGAGGUAUGCAUGCAAUUCAAAAUCAACUCAAGCAAACCAUCUUCCUCUUCCUCUAGAAGGGGAUAAUUAAUAAAUUACUGUCGGGCGAAAAAAAAGGGUAAGAGAUGGCUCGAUUAAUGUUAAUAUCGAUGCUAUUUCUCUUGGCAGGAUCAAUGCUUAUGGUCCAGGGCGGAGAUCCCACCCUUUUUUUCGAAUGGAACGUCACCUAUGGCACCAUUGCUCCCUUGGGAGUGCCAGUAAAGGGUAUUCUUAUUAACGGGCAAUUCCCGGGACCAAAUCUUAACUCUACCACCAACAACAAUAUCGUGGUUAAUGUGUUCAAUAACCUUGAUGAGCCAUUCCUUGUAACAUGGUAAGCGACUACCAAGAGUAGUUUCUUUUUUACAUUAAUAUGAUUAUGCUAGUGAAGAGUCGAGCUAAUUAUCUGUGGAAAUGGGAUUUGUUGCAGGGACGGCGUGCAGCAUAGGAAGAACUCUUGGCAAGAUGGUGUUCUGGGAACCAACUGUCCUAUCCCCCCUGGGAAGAAUUACACCUAUAAAUUCCAGGUGAAGGAUCAGAUUGGCAGCUACAUGUACUAUCCGGUGACGGCUAUGCACAAGGCGGUUGGUGGUUUCGGUGGCCUCCGUGUUAACAGCCGUCUACUCAUCCCUGUUCCCUACGCUGAUCCGGCUGAUGACUAUACUCUCUUAGUGGGAGACUUUUUCAACAAGGGACACACCAGCCUCAAGAAGAUUCUUGAUAGCGGUCGCAACCUUGGGAGAUGUGACGGUGUCCACCUUAAUGGGAAAGUUGCGAAAGGUGAUGGGAAGGAUGAACCUCUGUUUACGAUGGAGGCAGGCAAAACGUACAAGUACAGGAUUUGCAAUACGGGUAUCAAGACAUCUCUGAACGUCAGGUUCCAGGGCCACACCAUGAAAUUGGUUGAGAUGGAGGGUUCCCACACAAUGCAGAAUGACUAUGACUCCCUUGAUGUGCAUGUUGGACAGUGCUUCAGUGUGCUUGUUACUGCCAACCAGGAACCAAGGGAUUACUAUGUGGUGGCCUCUACCCGUUUUACCAGACGUGAGGUUACAGCAACCGGCAUCAUCCGUUACAAGAAUGGCAAGGGAGCUGCCUCAUCCGAGUUGCCACCGCCACCUGUUGGUUGGGCUUGGUCACUCAAUCAAUUCCGUACCUUCCGUUGGAACUUGACUUCUAACGCUGCUAGGCCUAACCCUCAGGGCUCCUACAAAUAUGGUUCCAUUAACAUUACCCGCACCAUCAAGCUUGCCAACACUGCACAAAGAGUAGAUGGCAAGCUCCGAUAUGCUCUUAAUGGAGCCUCCUAUGUCGAACCAACCACUCCACUAAAACUUGCAGAAUACUACGGCGUAGCCGACAAGGUUUUCAAGUAUGAUACCAUUCCCGAUGAGCCACCAAGUGACAACACUAAGGUAACUUUGGCACCUAUUGUCCUCAACAUGACACACAGAAACUUUGUGGAAAUCAUCUUCGAGAAUCACGAGACCGCCAUUCAGUCUUACCACUUGUCUGGCUACUCAUUCUUUGCCGUGGGGUAAGUAUAGCUUCUAACAUAACAAAUACAUGUGGUGAUUUUAUUGCCUGAGUUGAAGUAAUAAGUUGUAUAAUGAUUUGUUGCAGCAUGGACAUUGGGAAAUGGAGCCCUGAGAAGAGGAUGAACUACAAUCUUCUCGACGCCGUGAGCAGACACACCAUACAGGUAUUCCCCAACUCCUGGUCAGCAAUCCUAUUGACAUUCGACAACUGCGGGAUGUGGAACCUGAGGUCGGAGAUAUGGGACAGGCAUUACCUUGGGCAACAGCUUUAUGCUAGUGUUAUUUCCCCUAACCGAUCCCUCAAGGAUGAGUACAACUUGCCGGAAGGUGUAUUGACUUGCGGCAUCGUGCAAGGCAUGCCAAGGCCUCCACCUUUCAGCAGUUAAUUUAAAUAAGCUUAUAAAUCUGUAGCCAAUUCUGGUGUAUGGGGAGAGAGAGGGUGAGAAAAGCUUGAGUUCCAAAUGUAUUUAAUGAAAUAAAAGGUGUAUUUCUGCAUGCCUGCAAGUUGGUUAAAACUGAACAUGGAUGUAAAAUUUGCUUUAUAAUCGCAUGAAAGAUGGUUUAGAUUGAAAUUGAUGGUUCUACUAUUUCCGCUGUGUAACAAGGAAGAGAGUCUCGAAAGGCAAAUCGACGAAACAAAAAUCAAAUUAGUUUUUCUUAAAUGACACUACUUUUAAUAACCUGGACUUUAAAUUUAGUCAGACUUAAUAAUUUGAUGGUUUUUGAGGAAUUUAGACAAAAAUGUUAUGUUUUCUAAAAAGAUAGUCAAAGUAGAAGUUUUAAGUUUUACUUAGCCAUUUCGAUUAACAGUGUAGCAUUUAGAAUCUGGCUGGGCCGAAUUUAGGAAGUUACACCUCUAAUAUACCCUUACUUUUGACAAAGUUAGCAACAAAGAUUUCCUGAUUUCAGCUGUUCCAUAGGUUCCAACAGAUCACUCUAAAUAGCAUGUCCCCACUGGGCACCACCACAAGACAUGAUCAAUGGAUACAGAUCUAUUUGUACAAAAUUGGUAACAUCUAUCCUAAUAAUUUCUGCAUGCAUGCAAGUUAUCUUGAUUGAUAACUAAAAGGUGCAGGUGCAAAAGAGAGAUUACCCCUUCAACUGGUAUUGAUAUUGUUAAUGACUAGCAUGAUAUGCUACUUUGUUUUAAAAUUUUAAUAUUCUAAUAUUCAUUUGGAAAACACACCAAAAAAUUCUAAUAGUGGAACUAUCAAUUUCAUUCUAAACCAUCUUUCAUGCGAUUAUUAAGCAAAUUUUACAUUCACGUUCAGUUUUAACCAACUUGCAGGCAUGCAGAAAUUCAAACAUAAAAACCCAUGCCACCGUCCAAAAUUAACCAAAAUUACAGUCCCAAAUAGUAAAAAAACCAUGUUAAAACUUAGGUUAAAUUUUAAAAAAAUACUGCAUUAAAUAAAAAUCGAGACGAGACCUCCGAAUGUUGUGUCCAAUCCUAAUAUUGAGAGUUAUUUGUAAGAAGUAACUAAAGGAGUGAACUUAAAACAAUGUAUAUGCGUAAAAACAAUUAAUGAAGUAUACA